ACUGGGUACAGUGGCACACAUCUGUAGUUGCAGCUACUCAGGAGGCUAAAGUGGGAGGAUGGUUUGAGUCUAGGGAUGUAGUGUGCUGUGCUGUGCAGCCAAGUGUCCGCAUUAAGUUCAGUAUCAAUAUGAUGACUUCAGGAGUGGAGGACCACCAGAUGGCCUUAAGGGGGGUGAACCAGCCAUGUCUGAAAUGCGGGUCAAAAAUUCUCAUGCUGAUCAGUUAGUGGGAUCACACUUGUGAAUAGCCACUGCACUCCAGCCUGGGUAACAUAGCAAAAGCCUUUUUCUU
rfam:Otolemur garnettii contig102060, whole genome shotgun sequence.